CCUACGGGUGGCAGCAGUGAGGAAUAUUGGUCAAUGGGCGAGAGCCUGAACCAGCCAAGCCGCGUGAGGGAGUACUGCCUUAUGGGUUGUAAAUUCUUUUUGGCGGGGAGCAUAAGCCGGACGUGUCGGGCUGCGAGAGUACCCGACGAAUAAGCAUCGGCUAACUCCGUGCCAGCAGCCGCGGUAAUACGGAGGAUGCGAGCGUUAUCCGGAUUUAUUGGGUUUAAAGGGUGCGCAGGCGGAUUUUUAAGUCAGCGGUCAAAUCGUGGGGCUCAACCCCAUCCAGCCGUUGAAACUGGGGAUCUAGAGUGUGCGAGAGGUUUGCGGAAUGCGUGGUGUAGCGGUGAAAUGCAUAGAUAUCACGCAGAACCCCGGUUGCGAAGGCGGCAUACCGGUGCACAACUGACGCUCAGGCACGAAAGCGUGGGUAUCGAACAGGAUUAGAUACCCUUGUAGUC
rnacentral:rRNA from 1 species